rnacentral:rRNA from 1 species
AUUGAACGCUGGCGGCAUGCCUAACACAUGCAAGUCGAGCGAGCGGCGGACGGGUGCGUAAUGCCUAGGAAUUGCACAGUCGAGGGGGAUAACAGUUGGAAACGACUGCUAAUACCGCAUACGAUUGGCGUGCCCGGGGGGGAUUAGCUAGUUGGUGAGGUAAUGGCUCACCAAGGCGACGGUCCCUAGCUGGUCUGCGAGGAUGAUCAGCCACACUGGAACUGAGACACGGUCCAGACUCCUACGGGAGGCAGCAGUGGGGAAUCUUGCACAAUGGGGGAAACCCUGAUGCAGCCAUGCCGCGUGUGUGAAGAAGGCCUUCGGGUUGUAAAGCACUGUCAGCGGGGAGGCGGUACUCGCAGAAGAAGCACCGGCUAACUCCGUGCCAGCAGCCGCGGUAAUAC